AAAAGCUUAGUUUAAAAGAAAGAACAGCUUUAUUUUUAAAUAAAGUCGGUUUUGGUUUGACUCCAAAAGUUUUUU
rnacentral:tRNA from 1 species